UGAGGAAUAUUGGACAAUGGAUGGAAAUCUGAUCCAGCCAUGCCGCGUGCAGGAAGACGGCCCUAUGGGUUGUAAACUGCUUUUGUAUGGGAGCAAUAAGGACUACGUGUAGUUUGAUGAGAGUACCAUACGAAUAAGCAUCGGCUAACUCCGUGCCAGCAGCCGCGGUAAUACGGAGGAUGCGAGCGUUAUCCGGAUUUAUUGGGUUUAAAGGGUGCGUAGGCGGCGAUAUAAGUCAGUGGUGAAAUAUUUCGGCUUAACCGAGAGACUGCCAUUGAUACUGGGUUGCUAGAAUAUGGUUGCUGUGAGUGGAAUGUGUGGCGUAGCGGUGAAAUGCUUAGAUAUCACACAGAAUAUCGAUUGCGAAGGCAGCUCACAAAGCCAUUAUUGACGCUGAGGCACGAAAGUGUGGGGAUCAAACA
rnacentral:rRNA from 1 species